rnacentral:misc_RNA from 1 species
AAAGGCUUGCUCUAUUCUUCAGCUACCUACGUCUGUGCAGUUCCACAAUUUUGCUGAGAUAGAUACUUAUUCCAAUGAGAAAGUCCCCACAUGCCAAUCUAGCUCUAUUUCUAUUGUGGGAAAUGGAGAUAAUGGUGAUUCAUCUACAACAGAUCUAUCUUCAUCUAACAAGUUACAGGAUUCUUGUGGCAGGUCUGGCUAAUUUGCUCAAUUUUUCAUUUGACCAACCUAAAGAUACAUUGGAACGCUUAGCACUUCCUCCACCCAAGGAUUUGGAGUCUUUGCUUCUGGAUGCAGCCAAGCCUGCUGUAUCUUCAAGGAAUGCUCCUGAUCCACGUACAGGCAAGCAAACAUCUCGCCGGCCAAGCUUGUCACCUUUUCCCUGGUCACAAACUUUUAGUGGGCAUUGUAGAACCAAUUCUGAUGCAGUUAAGCUGUUAGCAAGUAGGAGCACAUGCCAAGGUAGAUGGGUGGCAAUGGGAAACUCUCUCAAUUCACUUGGGAUUACCUCUAGUUGUUUUACAAAUUUGGAGUCCUUUGCAUAUGAUGAGAGCCUAGUUCCUUCAAGUGGACCAAAGCUGGCUAUCCUAGAAAGUAAUUUUGCUUCAUCUAUGUCUGUUACUCAUUGCGAGUGGGGUUCAUCAAUAGCAGCAGCUUCUAUGACAUGCCACAUUCAUCUAGGCAAUACUUGCAUGAAGGAAUCAUCUUUAAACCUCAAGAAUGAAGGAAAUGUUGAACAUUGUCCAAGAGUACUAGCAGCUGCUCAAACCUUGUGUGAGAUUACCACAAGUACCUCGAGGCUAAACCAAGUUGGAAUGA